UACAGAGGUCCCAAGCGUUGUUCGGAUUCACUGGGCGUAAAGGGUGCGUAGGUGGUCGGGUAAGUCUGAUGUGAAAUCUCCGAGCUUAACUCGGAAAUGGCAUUGGAUACUAUUCGGCUAGAGGGUUUGAGGGGGGACUGGAAUACUUGGUGUAGCAGUGAAAUGCGUAGAUAUCAAGUGGAACACCAGUGGCGAAGGCGAGUCCCUGGAAAACUCCUGACACUGAGGCACGAAAGCUAGGGGAGGAAACAGG
rnacentral:rRNA from 1 species